UGAGGCGGGAGUAGAUGUGACUUAGUGUCAAGCAUAGCCAUGAUGUUAGCAACAUUGCUCUUGUGAGGUCAGAUGGAACCUUUCAGGGAUCACAAUACUAAGAUAUCAGCCAAGGAGAGAAAGUUCAUCCAAGGUCUGCUAUGGAAGCUAAACUGAGAGGGGGAAAGAACAUGAAGUUUGUACCCCAGAAGAGGUGUCAGUUUUUGUUGAGAAGCAUUUUCUGGGACUGGAGAUGUCUCUGCAGAAGUGUUUGCUGCUAUUCCAGAGUACCUGAGUUUGGAACCCAGCACUCACAUCACUAGGCUCUUGAUGCCCUCUACUGGACUUCAUAAGCACCUGCACACACAUGGUGCACAACCUUACACACAUAUACACAUAAUGACAAAUAGAUGAUGGUGCUGUUUUGCAAGGUUGUGGAAUCUUUUUUUUUGUUUGUUUGUUUGUUUUUUGGUUCUUUUUUUCAGAGCUGGGGACCAAACCCAGGGCCUUGCGCUUCCUAGAUGUCAUGCAAGCGAUCUUCUCUAGCCCUACUUCCUAUGGGCUUUCUGCUUCCUGGCUGAGGAUGCCAUAAGCCUGGCACACCAGGAUGGACGCACCUAUAACUCACAGAGACAUUGGCAGCUCAUACGAGACCUGUACAAGUUCAAGCCAGCCCAGGUCCCAGCAGUAAGAGAGGGUGGAACCCAGCUCCUAGGGAAUGUCUGAAGCCUUUUGAAACCUCAGAGCCCUACCCUAGUAAUCCUCCAAUAAGGCCAACCUCCAGCCUCUGCUGCUGCCACCAUGCCUUCCUUGCUGAAAUUGUAAGCCUAGCAUUAAACGCCAUUCCAUAUCAUCUCAGUUAACCCUAUCUAGAAACUCACUAGAUAAAAAUACCAAUAACCCAGACAACUUACAAACACACAAAAGAAGUUUGAGAAGUUACAGUUUCAGAGGGUCAGAGUCCAUGACCUCAGGAAAGCCAAGAGCUCUUACCUUGAUCCACAAGCAGCAGAGAGCACACUGGGAAUGACAAAGCCUUUUGAAACUUCCAAGCCCACCCCUAGUAACAGAUCUCUUGCAAGAAGGCCACACAUCCUAAUUGUUCCCAAACAGUUCCACCAGCUGGGGACCCCAAGGGGCCAUUGUCAUUCAAACCACCACGUGAGGUCCUGAGAAUGAACUUGUUAGAUUAUGCAUUCGGAGGACUGAUAAUUCUACAAUGGCCAUUUGUAGGCUGGAGAACUGAGGAAACAGUAGAUAUUUUCAGUUCAAGAAACUGAAGGCUCAGGAUAUGAGGGACCAGUGAUGCAGCCUCCAUGAGAGUCGCUAGUACAAGUUUGCAUCACUCAAAGGCUGAUGAAGCAAGAAUUUGAUGCUCAAAUUGCAAACACUGGCAGAAGAAAACAUAUUUGCCCGGGGGAGCCUGGGAGCUGCUUCUUUCUUUAGUUUUCUGUUUCAUCCGAGUGCAAUCUGCCACUGCCCUGAUUUAAGGAUGUGCUUACAUGCCUCCAUUUACUGACCCACAGCUGUCUCUGGAAACACCCCCACAGUCACAGAGGAGACAGCAAUUGAUUACACUCGAGGCAUCUUUCAAUGGUUUGGCGAGCCAAAAACCAAGAUUCACCAUCACACCAUGGUUAGACAUUUAAAAACAAGCUCAUCGUUUCUCUGGUGGUGAUGAAGAUGGCUAUAUACCUAUGGUAGGACAGCAUCUUCUCACUUGGUUGCCCAAGCUAGCCUUGAAUUCGCUAUCCUCCCUUCUGAACUGUCAAAGUAACUGGUCUUCCAGUCAUGUGACAUAUGGACACAGAAUAACCACAUUUACCUAUAUCCUUUCCUUUUGGAGAUUGUGCAGGUCCACCUAUCCAUCCAGCCUACCAGUUAUCCAUCCAGCAGGUCAUCCUGACCAGUUUUUGUAGGCAAUAGAUAACAGUGAGUUAAAGUCUUGUGGGACUUCUAUGUGGGUGGGAGAAGCAGAAAUAGGUAAUAAAAUAGCGGUCAGGGGUGCUACAGAGGAGAAAAAAGGAACGGAAGACCGUGAGGUGAGCAGAGGAACCUGAAACGGUGGUGAAAGGAGGGCAGUUGAGCCCCGAGAGGAAAGGAUGAAGAAGUGUGAGGACUGAGCGUCUGUCUGCCAGAAAAGCAAAUGCAACGGACCCGAGGCCAGAGGUUGACCAAGAGACUGAAGCCACUGGAGAAUGCUAAAAAGAUAGCUAUGGAUAUUCCAUUCUGGAAUUGUGUGGCGAAAACCGCGCAAGUGUAGAGCAAGCUUUCCAAGGAAAAAAGCCGGCAGGAGGGAACCCAAGGCAACGGAUUCAUUAAAACUCCACACCAACGUUGGCACCAAGCGUCAAAAGCUACGUCCCAGGUGGACUGCUCCAGCAAGGAGUCUGUUCUCCCGCAACUGCUUUCUACUCAUAGACCUUACACAGAGGAGAAGCCUUUUGCAUCUUGUAAUUUAAUGAGCUGCCUGGGAGGGAUGGCUCCUCCCCCCAGGCGUGAAUGAAAAGGUACAGGAGGCCAUUUAGGAUUAAACAGAAAGUUGUUGCAAUACA